rnacentral:rRNA from 1 species
GACGAACGCUGGCGGCGUGCUUAACACAUGCAAGUCGAACGGAAAGGCCCUGCUUUUGUGGGGUGCUCGAGUGGCGAACGGGUGAGUAACACGUGAGUAACCUGCCCUUGACUUUGGGAUAACUUCAGGAAACUGGGGCUAAUACCGGAUAGGAGCUCCUGCUGCAUGGUGGGGGGUGGAAAGUUUCGGCGGUUGGGGAUGGACUCGCGGCUUAUCAGCUUGUUGGUGGGGUAGUGGCUUACCAAGGCUUUGACGGGUAGCCGGCCUGAGAGGGUGACCGGCCACAUUGGGCCUGAGAUACGGACCAGACUCCUACGGGAGGCAGCAGUGGGGAAUAUUGCACAAUGGGCGGAAGCCUGAUGCAGCAACGCCGCGGUCGGGAUGACGGCCUUCGGGUUGUAAACCGCUUUCGCCUGUGACGAAGCGUGAGUGACGGUAAUGGGUAAAGAAGCACCGGCUAACUACGUG